rnacentral:rRNA from 1 species
AUUGAACGCUGGCGGCAGGCCUAACACAUGCAAGUCGAGCGGAGCGGCGGACGGGUGAGUAAUUCCUAGGAAUCUGCCUGGUAGUGGGGGAUAACGUCCGGAAACGGGCGCUAAUACCGCAUACUAUCAGAUUAGCCUAGGUCGGGUUAGCUAGUUGGUGGGGUAAAGGCCUACCAAGGCGACGAUCCGUAACUGGUCUGAGAGGAUGAUCAGUCAACCUGGAACUGAGACCGGGCCAAGACUCCUACGGAAGCAACAAGUGGGGAACAUUGGACAAGGGGGGAAAGCCUGAUCAAGACAUGCGGGGGAGGUGAAGAAGGUUUUCGGAUGGAAAGGCACUUUAAGUUGGGAGACGUUACCAAAAGAAUAAGCACCGGCUAACUUCGUGCCAGCAGCCGCGGUAAUAC